UACGUAGGGUGCAAGCGUUAAUCGGAAUUACUGGGCGUAAAGCGUGCGCAGGCGGUUGUGCAAGACAGAUGUGAAAUCCCCGGGCUUAACCUGGGAAUGGCAUUUGUGACUGCACGGCUAGAGUGUGUCAGAGGGGGGUAGAAUUCCACGUGUAGCAGUGAAAUGCGUAGAUAUGUGGAGGAACACCGAUGGCGAAGGCAGCCUCCUGGGCCAGCACUGACGCUCAUGCACGAAAGCGUGGGGAGCAAACAGG
rnacentral:rRNA from 1 species